GAUGAACGCUGGCGGCGUGCCUAAUACAUGCAAGUCGAGCGAACAGACGAGGAGCUUGCUCCUCUGACGUUAGCGGCGGACGGGUGAGUAACACGUGGAUAACCUACCUAUAAGACUGGGAUAACUUCGGGAAACCGGAGCUAAUACCGGAUAAUAUAUUGAACCGCAUGGUUCAAUAGUGAAAGACGGUUUUGCUGUCACUUAUAGAUGGAUCCGCGCCGCAUUAGCUAGUUGGUAAGGUAACGGCUUACCAAGGCAACGAUGCGUAGCCGACCUGAGAGGGUGAUCGGCCACACUGGAACUGAGCCACGGUCCAGACUCCUAAGGGAGGCAGCAGUAGGGUAUCGGCCGCAAUGGGCGAAAGCCUGACGGAGCAACGCCGCGUGAGUGAUGAAGGUCUUCGGAGCGUAAAACUCUGUUAUGAGGGAAGAACAAAUGUGUAAGUAACUAUGCACGUCUUGACGGUACCUAAUCAGAAAGCCACGGCUAACUACGUG
rnacentral:rRNA from 1 species